rnacentral:rRNA from 1 species
UACGUAGGGUGCGAGCGUUAAUCGGGAUACUGGGCGUAAAGCGUGCGCAGGCGGUUAUUUAAGUCAGGUGUGAAAGCCCUGGGCUUAACCUAGGAAUUGCGCUUGAGACUGGAUAGCUUGGAGUGCGGCAGAGGGAGGUGGAAUUCCACGUGUAGCAGUGAAAUGCGUAGAGAUGUGGAGGAACACCGAUGGCGAAGGCAGCCUCCUGGGCCAGCACUGACGCUCAUGCACGAAAGCGUGGGGAGCAAACAGG